UCAAGAAAACGUUUACGUUUUUAGUCGUGUUUCUACAAGAUUAAAGUGAUUAUAUGUAAACAGAAAAAUAUCUUAGUUUCAUAGCCUAAUUGUUCAUUUUUAGCAAAAAGUACAAAACCAAACAUGAAAAAAAACACACAGGUGGCUGUUAACAGGCUGUUACAGCUCAUAGAUUGAGUAAACGGCAGAGUUCAAUUAGCUUCAACCUUAAAGAGGUAUUGUUGUUUUCAUCGAUUUUAUCCUUCACAAUAAUCCUUGGCUGUCCAUGGUACUCAAAUAAAUCGAAAAGUUGACAAAAAAACACAACAGUAAGAAGUAAGAACAACAUUGCAGCUUAAUUUUGCUGAAUGAAAGCUCGUUCUGUGCCCGCGUACAAUCUUCUACUAGUCAGCGACUCUUUUAUAUAAUUUGUCGAGUUACACGAGGAGUUUUUACAAUUUGAGUUGCAUUUUACUCAUUAUUUUCAUCUGUGACCUAUCUUCAAGUUUUGACCACGAAUUUAUUUUGCGGUAAAUUUUAUAAAUUUCAAUUAAAAAAAAAAUCUUUAGUAUGGAAAUUUCGCAAUAAAAUUUUUCGCUUUUAAAAAAAAUCAGACACUAAAGAAUUUUUUAAAUCUUUCACCACAGUUGCAGAGCAUCAUUCCCUAUUGAUAUAUGAAAUAAAAAGAUAGAUCACCGACAUCUCGUCAUGUUGCCAUGGAAACACUGACGUUGACGAAAUCUAGUUCGAAAUAUUCCUUAGGUCGCCAAUAUUGCCAUGGAAGUCGAAAAGAAUUCGCGUUCUGCACGAAUAACCCUGUUUUACGGAAUUAUUGGGUAAACAAGAAUAACUGUAGGGAGCCUCCUUAAAUUAACAAAUUACAAAAUGUCAGACUCUGUCUGGCAUGAAUAGACCAAGCUAUAUUUACAUAUUUAAUUUCGCUUACAGUGUCAAGAUUUUCACAAAUCUUAAAACAAAGGAGCUGUGUAAUGUUGGCCACCUCGACACCUUCCAGGUGCAACAAACAUAUUUGCACUUUCGCCACGAGAUUGAAGUGUCGUCUAUUCUAAACACUUUCUUGUUACCGCCUGGUUGCUACUAAAUUCCGUUUAACUUUAGAUUUUCGCCCAGUAUAAUUGCUUUAAGGAUUCAUAAUCUCCUGACCAAGCACGGCAUAAAUUGUCAAGAAACGACAGAACACAGAGCGAUUUGCAAUGUAAAUGAUAUUUUUAUGAAUUUAAUUGCCUCGUGUGGCUAAAAAAUGUCUUGUGGACAUCGCAUAAAUUAGUUUUGUAUUAUAAGGAAGGUAUAUUGUCGAACAAGGAGCUAUGAUGUCCAGUCACCAGAUUGCGAAAAUUUGAAUUAAAGUACUUUAAGAAACGUUUUAAAUAUUAAAAUACAAAGAAGGCAUUCACUGUUAAAUAUCCUUGUUACAACUAGAGGCUAUUUACUUAUAUUGACGAUAUUUAGGCUUAACAAUUUGUUCAAAGAGACGCAAGUUCUCAUUCUGCAUGAUUGAAAAUUCAAACAAAAACGUGACAAAAAGUUGUCAAGUUCACAACGCUUUUAAGUGCAUGGCACUUAUAGUUAUAAGAUCCAAAUGAAUUAGAGAUGCAGUUCAAACACCUAUCAGUAAUAUUUAAUUUUCAAAACGUUUCUUCUGAUCUUUAGUUAAAUUUUGUCUGCUUUUCUUCUUAAAGUUAGUUGUUUUGCAAGAAAUUCCCUGCGGAGCGAGUUCAAUGUCGUGUCUGAAACAAAAUCGUUCACUCCAUGAGCAACCAUAAUUUUCUUCGGAAGCUUCCUACCGUCAUGCCUCGCGGCAAGUCGCUAUAAGGGGAAAUAUCAAUUGGUAAGUGCUGAUAAUUAACAAUUAUACCUUAUGAGUUUCUAACUUCUUCAAUCUAAUUCAUCUCCCCCCUGGAAUGAUCCCCCCGUCCGUCUUGGCCUUAAAGGCCCAUUUGUUAAAAGUUGAAAAUUUUCAACUGAAAAACUUUUUUCCGACGGAAAAUUUGUGUCGGCCAAUCGCAUUUUACAAAAUUUUCUUUCUGCGGAAAAUUUUCCUGAGUGGAAAUGGGCCUUAAGAGAUUUAAUACUAUUCCGUAGCGUAAGGUUUUGUGAUUUAUGGCAUUGAGUUUGGUAUAAGCAUUUGGGUAGGCAACGUUUUAUUAAUAGCAUUCCCGAUGAGCUCCAAACAAAGGUUAGCACUAUUUUCCAUCCAGCAAACUGACCUGACGUUAUUUUCAGAAGAUAGAAGAGUUGUUAAAUGGCUAUGUAACUAACCCAAAACCUACCUCUGCUCUAACCCCAACCGUAACUCUACUCUAACCCCAACCGUAACUCUAACCCUAACCCUAACCGAAUUAAUAAAAUAGUCCAGAAAAACCGACUUUGGAAACUCGAUAGGGUGGUUUGCUGGAUGGAAAAAAGUGCCAACCACAAACAAAUGGAAAGCAGUGCUUUAAUUUGUGUGUUAAUGAUUAUUUAUACAUAAUUAACUUCAAUAGUAUACUGUUAGUCUGUAAUUGUUACAUAAAAUAAUAUUCUUGGAUUUGUGUAAAUAUAUACAGUGUGUAAAAAAACGAAACAUUUAGAUAUCAAGCUAUUGUUGUUAAGCACAAGAUUUUAUGAAUUUAAAAUAACUGCUAUAGAAUCGUAUGAAGGAGCGUAAUUGCAUUCAAAUUCCAACAAUACUAUAAGGGUCUCAUAUUUUUUAUACACCAUGUAUCAUGUACAUACUGUAAAUGACCAUGUAUAUUGACAGAUAAUUUCAAGUAAGUGUAAUUGUCAAUGGAAAUUGUUUAAUAAAUGAAUUUCAAGACGUACUAUAUUUUAUAAAAAGUAUAUGUGAGCAUGUUUCGACUCCCAGCAUGAAAUAGUGUAC